GGAGGAGGAGGGGGAGGGGGAGAAGGGAAUAGAGGGAGAGAGAGAGAGGGAUGAAGGGAUGCGAGGUGUGUGAGAGGGUGGCUUGAGACCAGGCGAGGCUGUGUUGGGAGUGCGACGCCAGGUCCACAGCGCCAACUUCCUCGUCGCCCGCGCCCUCCUUUGCCGCAGAUGUCAGUCCCGUAUGUCCUGCCUAGCCGCGGGCCCCGCCUCGCCCCCACCAUCUCCGUCUGCCACAGCUGCACCGUUCACCUCAUUGUCGGACGUAAGCUCCCGCCGCCGGAGGAAGGUGGCUAUGAAGGCGGCCGUGGAGAAGAGGAGGAAGGAGGAGGAGGAGGAGAUGGUGGAUAUGGAGAAGACGAGAAUGGUCGUCGAUGUUGCCGUCGCCUGGAGCUCCUCCACCAGUGAGGAUUGAUGGUUUUCCGUGAAGUUGGUGGCUCAGGUCAUGGACUGCCACCCUAAUCUCAAGGGACGAGAUCUUUAACUUAGAUCCUUGUUAGUUAAAACGGAUCUUUAAUGGAUUUAUUAUAAUUCAUAAUUUAAUAAACAGGUUGAUCAAGUUGACUCAUUUAUGACA